UACGGAGGAUCCAAGCGUUAUCCGGAAUCAUUGGGUUUAAAGGGUCCGUAGGCGGUCUUGUAAGUCAGUGGUGAAAGCCCAUCGCUCAACGGUGGAACGGCCAUUGAUACUGCAAGACUUGAAUUAUUGGGAAGUAACUAGAAUAUGUAGUGUAGCGGUGAAAUGCUUAGAUAUUACAUGGAAUACCAAUUGCGAAGGCAGGUUACUACCAAUACAUUGACGCUGAUGGACGAAAGCGUGGGUAGCGAACAGG
rnacentral:rRNA from 1 species